GACGAACGCUGGCGGCGUGCCUAAUACAUGCAAGUCGAACGCACAGUUUAUACCGUAGCUUGCUACACCAUAGACUGUGAGUUGCGAACGGGUGAGUAACGCGUAGGUAACCUGCCUGGUAGCGGGGGAUAACUAUUGGAAACGAUAGCUAAUACCGCAUAAUAUUAAUUAUUGCAUGAUAAUUAAUUGAAAGGUGCAAUUGCACCACUACCAGAUGGACCUGCGUUGUAUUAGCUAGUAGGUGAGGUAACGGCUCACCUAGGCGACGAUACAUAGCCGACCUGAGAGGGUGAUCGGCCACACUGGGACUGAGACACGGCCCAGACGCCUACGGGAGGCAGCAGUAGGGAAUCUUCGGCAAUGGACGAAAGUCUGACCGAGCAACGCCGCGUGAGUGAAGAAGGUUUUCGGAUCGUAAAGCUCGGUUGUAAGAGAAGAACGGGUGUGAGAGUGGAAAGUUCACACUGUGACGGUAUCUUACCAGAAAGGGACGGCUAACUACGUG
rnacentral:rRNA from 1 species